CCUACGGGCGGCAGCAGUGAGGAAUAUUGGUCAAUGGGCGAGAGCCUGAACCAGCCAAGUCGCGUGAAGGAUGACGGCCCUACGGGUUGUAAACUUCUUUUGUCAGGGAGCAAUUGGGUCCACGCGUGGGCUUAGCGAGAGUACCUGAAGAAAAAGCAUCGGCUAACCCCGUGCCAGCAGCCGCGGUAAUACGGAGGAUGCGAGCGUUAUCCGGAUUUAUGGGGUUUAAAGGGUGGGUAGGCGGAAUAUCAAGUCAGCGGUAAAAAUUCGGGGCUCAACCCCGUCGUGCCGUUGAAACUGAUGUUCUUGAGUGGGCGAGAGGUAUGCGGAAUGCGUGGUGUAGCGGUGAAAUGCAUAGAUAUCACGCAGAACUCCGAUUGCGAAGGCAGCAUACCGGCGCCCAACUGACGCUGAGGCACGAAAGCGUGGGUAUCGAACAGGAUUAGAUACCCGAGUAGUC
rnacentral:rRNA from 1 species